AGUUCAGUCCGGGCAAUCGCUCACUAUUAAUAAUUACGGUGGGAGGAAAGUCCGAGCUUCAUAGAACAGGGUGCCGGGUAACACCCGGGGGUCGUAAGAGAAAUUUUAUGACCACUGAAAGUGCCACAGAAAAGAAACCGCCCCGAUUUAUCGGGGUAAGGGUGAAAAGGCGGGGUAAAAGCCCACCGCUCCAUUGGUAACAAUGGAGGCACGGCAAACCACACCCGAAGCAAGGUCAAAUAGGGAAACCGUUCCUUAUUCAUUUAAGGAUCAGAGUUGUUCGCUCUGGAGGUUUCCGGGUAGAUCGCUAGAUUCUAUCAGUAAUGGUAGAGCCAGAUAAAUGAUUGCCAUCCGGCAACCGCCGGAUACAGAACUCGGCUUACAGGUCUGAACUUUUU
rnacentral:RNase_P_RNA from 1 species